GGUUCUUUAAAAGGAUUUCAAGGAAUUCAUUGAUUGACACAUAAGGAAAUGCCCUAUUCACUUUGAGUAAGUAAAAACAACAUAAAAAAAAGAAUUUCACAAUCAUUAAUCAAUGUCAGUUAUUGAAAAUUACAGUAACAUGCUUACAGUUAGGAGUGCUGAAAAAAGCCGGGAGUCCAAUUCAGCAUGUGAUUCAGGUAGUCCGCAAAAACGAUCCUUUAGGAAGAGAUGUUGAACUCUUUCGUUGGCAUUAUUACGCUCCAGGUCAAGUUGGUCCAGCCUCUAAGGGUAUACUCCUGCUGACUGAUCGAAAGUAGCGUUUUUGUCUAAUGGUUUAUUUGUCGAGGAGGUGUAUUUGUCAAUGGCUCUGAGCAAGUCACCAUCAUGCAAUCUAAAAGAAAUAUGAUCAAUAUAAAAUCUUGUUUGUUUAAAUUGUUGAAAAUGAAGGAACUAGUAGUGUCAAUGAGUAAUGUAAAUAGUUAUAGUUCUGUCAAUAGUUUAUUUUUUUGGGUACCUUUUUAUGAUAGUCAUAUAUUGGCCAAUGAUGUUGAAAAAUAACAUCCAAUUUUAUAGGUAUUAUGUAAUGAAUAUUAUGUUUAUCUAUAUAAUUUUUGGUCUUUUUUUUU